AGGUCCUCCAGUGAUGCAGAUAAUGACCAAUGAAUUAGCUUUGCCAACAGCUCACGUCCGGAUAAGAUGUCACAGGGGAGCUUUUGCAUUUCCGUGGAUAAAAUAAUAAAGUAAUGAAGUUUUUGGUUCUAGUGUCGAACCGUCCUUCACAGCUGGGGACACUGUCCUCGGUGUCGCAGGUCAGCCUCCCUUUGUCUGAUACGGAGGCCGACACGCAUCUAUUCAUGAGAUCUCCCCGUUGUGCUUCCUCCUGUAAGCUAAUUCCACUCCCUAAUUGGAUAACGUGUCCAUUGGGACCGCUGACCGACACGCACGAGGCCUAUCAGCGACGGGACGAGGUCAAGGGUUAACGAGGCCCGCUGAGGAGGAUGCCAUACAUUGGCCACGCAGUCAGUGGGGGUUUCUGGGUAAUAAGUUGGCGAAGAAACCACCAGCGUAGUGCAGAGUGCAAGUCGAGCGAUCCAGCGCCACGGGCGUGAUAACGGGCUGCAGGUCAAGGUUCAUCGCGUCGACAGAAAAGGUACGUUGAUCAAUUCCUCCGCAGAGACUUAGAGCAGAUCUUAAGUAAAGGUUAUGGGAUUAUCAAAGUAAUGAGGGUGUAUCCUCUGGGUACCAUGAUUGGGUCGAUACCCUGGUGGGUUCAGCAGGUUUUUCUCUCCCUGAGCUCAUGCAUCGUAUCUAAAAACUAAUAAUAUUCCACAUACAGUGAAAAUGUGUCCUCUCAAUGUCAUAGAAAUGCUCUUAUUUUAAAUGGGGACAAAAGUCAAUUUGCGCCACUAAUUACAUUUCUGGGCGCAGCGACGAUUCAUUAGUUUCAUGAUUCAUGAAUUAGGGGGAUACUUCUUUUUUUAUAAUUGAGUACUUUUUCCAAUUUAUAAGAAAUAACCUCCUUAAGCUCCUUUACUGGACCGUGAUGUCAUGCUGGUGUGGUAUUCACAUGGCGUUGUGUUAUCGCAAUGAGCUGGCAGAUAUUAACCACGUCGGUGCGUUGUGCUGCUGUUGUGUUUGCUUAGCGUGUGCAUGCUAACCGUUAGCAGCAGCAUGCUAACGCGCUAACAUUAGCGGCACCUCAUCUGGGCCUCGGUGCAGCUGCUCUGGAGUCCUAAAAAGGGCAAAGUAAAGAUUUAGAUUUAGUGAAGCAACACGUUUGCUGCUCCGCCGACCCGACCAGAACCGAUCAGAUAUCGUGUCUCAAUGGUUCACCAACGGCCUCCGUCUAUCUUUGACAAAACCACAAACGUUUAUGUGGCCUACUGUUGUUUUCAGUCUCCCAACAUCUACCCGUGGAGAGCAGUGUCUACUCACCCGACUCGGGGCUCUUGGGUUUGGACCCGUUGAAAACACGGACCUGAAUCUCCGUGAACAGAUCUUUCAUUCACAACGAGAAGCUGGAGGCACAGGCGCCGAUUCAACCGCCUCAUAAGUCUUCUGGUUUUCCAGGCUGCUGGUGGCAGACGUCCCACACAGAGAAGAGCAAGCGACCCGGUUACAGCCGUGUGACCCCUGCGGGUGGGAUUCAAUCAUCUGCAAAGUACAAAUUGAACUGGAUUGAAUGUUUAUAGUGCGCGUGUGUCUGAGAAGGUGUCUGUCGGUCGUCGUCCGACCAAUAAAACGUUCUGUUUCCUUCAUUCACGCCUUUUGUCUCUGAUCUGAACGGUGUCCCCUCGGCUCCUGUGAGGUUCCUCCUCGGGUCGAACGUCCUACCGACCUCGGGGAGUCGGAUCCGAAGCUGAAGCUUCUCCUCCCUCCAUCUCUCACGUCCCUGCUUCGUUUGUCACCUGCAGUAACACUCGCUGUGGGUUUGAGAGCCCUAGGUCAUGUCUCCCUAUUCGACGUCUAGUUCCUCCCAAUUAGCAGGGAGCCUUUGAUGAGUUGGUGACGGAUCAUCUCGGGGGAACCGGAGUGAACACGUUGGAGAUGAAUCAAAUAAAACCAAAUGAGGUGGUGUGAGUGUUUGCACCUCACGACAGGAUGCAUAUCAAUAGAAGCACAACGUCAUAACAAUAUAUCCAAAAACGUAUUGACUAUGUAAACAAUGAUAUUACAACAUGAUUCUAUAUCACACUAUAAGAGAUCACCAGACACAGCAAAGAUAUGCUGCAUUGUACUAUACCGUGACAUAAUGCCAUAUUACACUACAUCACAUCACGCACUCUUACUAUAAGUCUCAUCAUAUAUCACGUCAGAGUGUUCAGAGCUUAUCGCUUCGUCUCCUUGUUCUUCCAGCGUUUGAUCGAGUGUGAGACUCGCAGCGGAGGUCAGCGCGUCUCCAUAAGUACAAUGAAAACGAGCCUCUUUACCGGAUCAUUUUGUGUAGGAAAGAGAAUAAAUAUCUUCACUUGGUCCACCUGGUGUUCGUGCACAGAUGAACAUACGCGGCUCUGACAUGGCGCUUGCUGUAGAAUCGGAUGUGUGUGGAAAUGUUUCAAAGGCUUUUCAAAGGACGAGGAAUCCAACAGGACGUCGUCGCUCAUCUGCUACACGGAGUUAUCCUCGAUGAUGGAAGUUAGAUUUGAUUUAAUGAAACGCGCUGGAUCUCUUUAUUCAAAUUGAGGAUUAGGUUGUUGAAGGAUUUAUGCGAUGGAAUUGUUUUUCUGGGGGGGGAGGAUUCAGCCUGACAACCACCAGCUGAGACACACAUUUCUCUCGUGUGGACAUGUUGCAUUCUUUGUCUCCAUUCAUCACACAGAGGAGAUGAAGAUACUUCGGCGGAAAGCUUCCCAUUGGCUCCUCGUGUUCCAUUCCUCCACGCGACCUUCACGUGUCCUCAUUCCUCAGUGCCGGGGUGGAUCCAACACCUCCCCCAGCAUCACCUGGAUGGGAGCAGAGACGGCCUGUGAGGACCGUUUGUCACGGAGGACACGCGAGAACAUUCCAUAGAACUAAUGCAGACUUCUGUGAAGCCUCCAGACAUUCCCACGUCAUUUCAUUAGUUUCCCUCCUUAUUGGGAGCCCGACCAUCAGGUUUCUCCUAAACUCAACAUUAGAUGGUUCAUUGUACGUAAUGAACGCAUGAAUAUGACCAGAUAAUCACAAUCAGCUUCAUUGAGGUUGAUUCUCGUGUUUCUGUGACAUCAGAGGAAGCGUAAAGAAGCUUGAAUAAAAGGUGAAGCUGAUCAUGAACGAAGCUGCAGGCUUGCCGACGUUGCAUGAAAUGAAAUGUUCAGAUUAAUUCGAUUUUUAAGUGUACUUAUGAGGAAAGAAAUGCAUUCAGCGUGCUGUGUUGGAGUGUGGUGAACAACCGGCUUUAACAAGUCCCAGAAGGAGAACAAACGUUUAAAAAUCACUAAUAGUUUUUGAGGGCUCAUUUUAAAAAGUUAAGAAGUCAAAUGCUUCCUAAACACAAAAACAAAUUAAGAAAUGUCAAAGGAUUUCCAAACGCCCGCCCAGACUACGGGCCGACGUCCACGUCUACAAACGCUCUCUCAUCGGAGAGACGUGUGUUAUCAGUAAAGCUGCUACAAACCAAACCAAACCAGCGUGAUCACCUGCUCGCUCCCUUCUGCACUGAAUGAAGCCUUUCCAUCAAAGCACAGAUCAGAGGUAAGAGAUUCAUCUGAAGCUUUAUCAGCAGUUACUUAAAAGGCUUUUGCAUAAUUCGUGUUUCACACAAGUCUGGAAUUUAAAGCAUAACUGCUGCAGAUGGUAGAAAAAGUAAGUAAGUAAGUUCGUUCUUUGGAUAAAAUAUUGAAUUUAAUAAAUGGAAAAGCUCAGCAACUCUUGGUCAACUUAAAGGGUUAUUAAAGGGUAUUACUUUUGGUUUCUUUUGCUGGGUGAAAGUCUCGUGCAGAAGAAAGAAGACAUGGAGGGUGGACGGUGAGACCAACAGGACCUUCGGCAGACCUCAUGUCUCAACGUGCUGCGGAGUCACUUUGAAGUUGGUGAUUUUCAGCUCUUGUGUCCACGUUAAACCUCUCUUACUAACUCCAAACAUCUCCUGUAUGGAACUACGCGGGUUCAGUUCCUUGAACCUAAUAAAGUGCCACAGUGACAGGCGGAUGGACAAUAUGUGUCUCCUUUCUACGCGUCCAGGAUCUCACACUUGUGUUUUCAUGCUCCACUGACAUCCACAGUCCCUCUCUGCCCGUCUCCAUUUCCUCCCGACCCUCAUCCUCCCCCCUCAUCCUCCCCCGCCUGUGGCCGUCGCCCCUCGUCUCGCUCAACGCCGUCUCUGUGCAUCACUCGGCUCACAUUAGCCCAUCUGCCUCGAUGCCGUCGCCUCCUCCCGCCUUCCAUCACGUGGAUCCAUUCCCCUCCAACGCGCCGUCUCAGCCGCUCAUCACUUCCUCGUCACCAGCGACCGACUCGCGACUCUGAGGUCAGGUCAAAAAACGCA